rnacentral:rRNA from 1 species
UUGAACCGGGAGAGGUAAGAGGUACUACAGGGGUAGGAGUGAAAUACUUUGUAAUCCCUGUGGGACCACCUGUGGCGAAGGCGUCUUACCAGAACGGGUUCGACGGUGAGGGACGAAAGCUGGGGGCACGAACCGGAUUAGAUACCCGGGUAGUCCCAGCCGUAAACGAUGCUCGCUAGGUGUCAGGCAUGGCGCGACCGUGUCUGGUGCCGCAGGGAAGCCGUGAAGCGAGCCACCUGGGAAGUACGGCCGCAAGGCUGAAACUUAAAGGAAUUGGCGGGGGAGCACAACAACGGGUGGAGCCCUGCGGUUUAAUUGGACUCAAACGCCGGACAACUCACCGGGGGCGACAGCAAUAUGUAGGCCAAGCUGAAGACUUUGCCUGAAUCGCUGAGGAGAGGUGCAUGG